GACGAACGCUGGCGGCGUGCUUAAUACAUGCAAGUAGAACGCUGAAGAGAGGAGCUUGCUCUUCUUGGAUGAGUUGCGAACGGGUGAGUAACGCGUAGGUAACCUGCCUUGUAGCGGGGGAUAACUAUUGGAAACGAUAGCUAAUACCGCAUAACAAUGGAUGACACAUGUCAUUUAUUUGAAAGGGGCAAUUGCCCCACUACAAGAUGGACCUGCGUUGUAUUAGCUAGUAGGUGAGGUAACGGCUCACCUAGGCGACGAUACAUAGCCGACCUGAGAGGGUGAUCGGCCACACUGGGACUGAGACACGGCCCAGACUCCUACGGGAGGCAGCAGUAGGGAAUCUUCGGCAAUGGGGGCAACCCUGACCGAGCAACGCCGCGUGAGUGAAGAAGGUUUUCGGAUCGUAAAGCUCUGUUGUAAGUCAAGAACGAGUGUGAGAGUGGAAAAUUCACACUGUGACGGUAGCUUACCAGAAAGGGACGGCUAACUACGUGCCAGCAGCCGCGGUAAUACGUAGGUCCCGAGCGUUGUCCGGAUUUAUUGGGCGUAAAGCGAGCGCAGGCGGUUUGAUAAGUCUGAAGUUAAAGGCUGUGGCUCAACCAUAGUUCGCUUUGGAAACUGUCAAACUUGAGUGCAGAAGGGGAGAGUGGAAUUCCAUGUGUAGCGGUGAAAUGCGUAGAUAUAUGGAGGAACACCGGUGGCGAAAGCGGCUCUCUGGUCUGUAACUGACGCUGAGGCUCGAAAGCGUGGGGAGCGAACAGGAUUAGAUACCCUGGUAGUCCACGCCGUAAACGAUGAGUGCUAGGUGUUGGAUCCUUUCCGGGAUUCAGUGCCGCAGCUAACGCAUUAAGCACUCCGCCUGGGGAGUACGACCGCAAGGUUGAAACUCAAAGGAAUUGACGGGGGCCCGCACAAGCGGUGGAGCAUGUGGUUUAAUUCGAAGCAACGCGAAGAACCUUACCAGGUCUUGACAUCCCGAUGCUAUUUCUAGAGAUAGAAAGUUACUUCGGUACAUCGGUGACAGGUGGUGCAUGGUUGUCGUCAGCUCGUGUCGUGAGAUGUUGGGUUAAGUCCCGCAACGAGCGCAACCCCUAUUGUUAGUUGCCAUCAUUCAGUUGGGCACUCUAGCGAGACUGCCGGUAAUAAACCGGAGGAAGGUGGGGAUGACGUCAAAUCAUCAUGCCCCUUAUGACCUGGGCUACACACGUGCUACAAUGGUUGGUACAACGAGUUGCGAGUCGGUGACGGCAAGCUAAUCUCUUAAAGCCAAUCUCAGUUCGGAUUGUAGGCUGCAACUCGCCUACAUGAAGUCGGAAUCGCUAGUAAUCGCGGAUCAGCACGCCGCGGUGAAUACGUUCCCGGGCCU
rnacentral:rRNA from 1 species